NNACUGUUGAGGAGUCCCAUAAUAGGACGAAACGGCCGUCCAAUGC
rnacentral:hammerhead_ribozyme from 1 species